rnacentral:rRNA from 1 species
AGUGAACGCUGGCGGUAGGCCUAACACAUGCAAGUCGAACGGCAGCACAGUAAGAGCUUGCUCUUACGGGUGGCGAGUGGCGGACGGGUGAGGAAUACAUCGGAAUCUACUUUUUCGUGGGGGAUAACGUAGGGAAACUUACGCUAAUACCGCAUACGACCUACGGGUGAAAGCAGGGGAUCUUCGGACCUUGCGCGAUUGAAUAAGCCGAUGUCGGAUUAGCUAGUUGGCGGGGUAAAGGCCCACCAAGGCGACGAUCCGAAGCUGGUCUGAGAGGAUGAUCAGCCACACUGGAACUGAGACACGGUCCAGACUCCUACGGGAGGCAGCAGUGGGGAAUAUUGGACAAUGGGCGCAAGCCUGAUCCAGCCAUACCGCGUGGGUGAAGAAGGCCUUCGGGUUGUAAAGCCCUUUUGUUGGGAAAGAAAAGCAGCAGGUUAAUACCCCGCUGUUCUGACGGUACCCAAAGAAUAAGCACCGGCUAACUUCGUG